rnacentral:rRNA from 1 species
UACAGAGGUCUCAAGCGUUGUUCGGAAUUAUUGGGCGUAAAGGGUGCGUAGGCGGUAGAGUAAGUUAGAUGUGAAAUGUCGGUGCUUAACACCGAACCUGCAUUUAAGACUGCUCUGCUUGAGCGCUAGAGAGGAGUCUGGAAUUUACGGUGUAGCAGUGAAAUGCGUAGAUAUCGUAAGGAAGACCAGUGGCGAAAGCGAGACUCUGGCUAGAUGCUGACGCUGAGGCACGAAAGCUGGGGGAGCAAACGGG